CAGGCUCCUUGGGAGGGAACCCAGAGCAGAGCUGCAAGUGGAGCUGGUCACAACGGUCAAUUUAGCUGCCUCUGUCCCUGCCCCUAAACGGGGGAUGUUAUUGCAAGGACUCAGCGAAAUAAAAGAUUCUCCAGAACUGGUUCUUUCAUCUCUCUUGCUGCGCGGGACGCGGAAAAGGGAGAUCCCCGCCAUGUUUGGCCCCCGCCGCAUCAGGCCCCCGCAUUUUGGCGACCAACGUGGGCCGUGAAAGAAGCAACAAGAGGUAUGGGUCAAGGGAUCGCUCCCAAGAAUUGCGUGCGCCACAGAAAGUGUAAGAUACGGAGAGUGUAUUGUAGUGAAUUGAUAUGAAUUAGCCGGGUGUAAAACGUGGGUAAUCCUCAAAAAUGCUUUAAACUAUGUUCUCUUAAGCGUAGUCAGAUUCUUGAUUUCUUAAGUUUUGUUGAUGAAACCUGGGAAAAGGUUAGAGAGCAGUUGUGUGACCAAUACUCAGCAAAAAGUCCAGAGAAAAUUCCUAUUUUAAUUGGUGAUGGCCUUGAUUCAGCACAAGAGAGUUUAAGAAUG